rnacentral:tRNA from 1 species
UGGGGAGUAGUCUAAGGGUAGGACAGCGGGUUUUGAUCCCGCCAGUUGGGGUUCGAAUCCCUACUCCCCAA